GGGUUGUGAGGUUAAGCGACUAAGCGUACACGGUGGAUGCCCUGGCAGUCAGAGGCGAUGAAGGACGUGCUAAUCUGCGAAAAGCGCCGGCGAGGUGAUAUGAACCUUUGACCCGGCGAUGUCCGAAUGGGGAAACCCAGUGCAAUUCGUUGCACUAUCGUUAACUGAAUACAUAGGUUAACGAGGCGAACCGGGGGAACUGAAACAUCUAAGUACCCCGAGGAAAAGAAAUCAACCGAGAUUCCCCCAGUAGCGGCGAGCGAACGGGGAGCAGCCCAGAGUCUGAAUCAGCUUGUGUGUUAGUGGAAGCGUCUGGAAAGUCGCACGGUACAGGGUGACAGUCCCGUACACGAAAGCACACAGGCUGUGAACUCGAAGAGUAGGGCGGGACACGUGGUAUCCUGUCUGAAUAUGGGGGGACCAUCCUCCAAGGCUAAAUACUCCUGACUGACCGAUAGUGAACCAGUACCGUGAGGGAAAGGCGAAAAGAACCCCGGCGAGGGGAGUGAAAAAGAACCUGAAACCGUGUACGUACAAGCAGUGGGAGCACCUUCGUGGUGUGACUGCGUACCUUUUGUAUAAUGGGUCAGCGACUUAUAUUCUGUAGCAAGGUUAACCGUAUAGGGGAGCCGAAGGGAAACCGAGUCUUAACUGGGCGUUAAGUUGCAGGGUAUAGACCCGAAACCCGGUGAUCUAGCCAUGGGCAGGUUGAAGGUUGGGUAACACUAACUGGAGGACCGAACCGACUAAUGUUGAAAAAUUAGCGGAUGACUUGUGGCUGGGGGUGAAAGGCCAAUCAAACCGGGAGAUAGCUGGUUCUCCCCGAAAGCUAUUUAGGUAGCGCCUCGUGAACUCAUCUUCGGGGGUAGAGCACUGUUUCGGCUAGGGGGCCAUCCCGGCUUACCAACCCGAUGCAAACUACGAAUACCGAAGAAUGUUAUCACGGGAGACACACGGCGGGUGCUAACGUCCGUCGUGAAGAGGGAAACAACCCAGACCGCCAGCUAAGGUCCCAAAGUCAUGGUUAAGUGGGAAACGAUGUGGGAAGGCACAGACAGCCAGGAUGUUGGCUUAGAAGCAGCCAUCAUUUAAAGAAAGCGUAAUAGCUCACUGGUCGAGUCGGCCUGCGCGGAAGAUGUAACGGGGCUAAACCAUGCACCGAAGCUGCGGCAGCGACGCGUAUGCGUUGUUGGGUAGGGGAGCGUUCUGUAAGCCGUUGAAGGUGUGCUGUGAGGCAUGCUGGAGGUAUCAGAAGUGCGAAUGCUGACAUAAGUAACGAUAAAGCGGGUGAAAAGCCCGCUCGCCGGAAGACCAAGGGUUCCUGUCCAACGUUAAUCGGGGCAGGGUGAGUCGACCCCUAAGGCGAGGCCGAAAGGCGUAGUCGAUGGGAAACAGGUUAAUAUUCCUGUACUUGGUGUUACUGCGAAGGGGGGACGGAGAAGGCUAUGUUAGCCGGGCGACGGUUGUCCCGGUUUAAGCAUGUAGGCGGAGGUUCCAGGUAAAUCCGGUACCUUUUAACGCUGAGGUGUGAUGACGAGGCACUACGGUGCUGAAGUAACAAAUGCCCUGCUUCCAGGAAAAGCCUCUAAGCAUCAGGUAACACGAAAUCGUACCCCAAACCGACACAGGUGGUCAGGUAGAGAAUACCAAGGCGCUUGAGAGAACUCGGGUGAAGGAACUAGGCAAAAUGGUGCCGUAACUUCGGGAGAAGGCACGCUGAUAUGUAGGUGAAGCCCCUGCGGGUGGAGCUGAAAUCAGUCGAAGAUACCAGCUGGCUGCAACUGUUUAUUAAAAACACAGCACUGUGCAAACACGAAAGUGGACGUAUACGGUGUGACGCCUGCCCGGUGCCGGAAGGUUAAUUGAUGGGGUUAGCGGCAACGCGAAGCUCUUGAUCGAAGCCCCGGUAAACGGCGGCCGUAACUAUAACGGUCCUAAGGUAGCGAAAUUCCUUGUCGGGUAAGUUCCGACCUGCACGAAUGGCGUAAUGAUGGCCAGGCUGUCUCCACCCGAGACUCAGUGAAAUUGAACUCGCUGUGAAGAUGCAGUGUACCCGCGGCAAGACGGAAAGACCCCGUGAACCUUUACUAUAGCUUGACACUGAACACUGGUCCUUGAUGUGUAGGAUAGGUGGGAGGCUUUGAAGCGUGGACGCCAGUCUGCGUGGAGCCGUCCUUGAAAUACCACCCUUUAAUGGCUGGUGUUCUAACGUAGACCCGUGAUCCGGGUUGCGGACAGUGUCUGGUGGGUAGUUUGACUGGGGCGGUCUCCUCCCAAAGAGUAACGGAGGAGCACGAAGGUUAGCUAAUCCUGGUCGGACAUCAGGAGGUUAGUGCAAUGGCAUAAGCUAGCUUGACUGCGAGAGUGACGGCUCGAGCAGGUGCGAAAGCAGGUCAUAGUGAUCCGGUGGUUCUGAAUGGAAGGGCCAUCGCUCAACGGAUAAAAGGUACUCCGGGGAUAACAGGCUGAUACCGCCCAAGAGUUCAUAUCGACGGCGGUGUUUGGCACCUCGAUGUCGGCUCAUCACAUCCUGGGGCUGAAGUAGGUCCCAAGGGUAUGGCUGUUCGCCAUUUAAAGUGGUACGCGAGCUGGGUUUAGAACGUCGUGAGACAGUUCGGUCCCUAUCUGCCGUGGGCGCUGGAGAAUUGAGGGGGGCUGCUCCUAGUACGAGAGGACCGGAGUGGACGCAUCACUGGUGUUCGGGUUGUCAUGCCAAUGGCACUGCCCGGUAGCUAAAUGCGGAAAAGAUAAGUGCUGAAAGCAUCUAAGCACGAAACUUGCCCCGAGAUGAGUUCUCCCUGAC
rnacentral:rRNA from 1 species